rnacentral:misc_RNA from 1 species
UUUCCGUAGGUGAACCUGCGGAAGGAUCAUUGCACACACGAUGCAGCAAACUAGCGAACUGUGUUUGUCCCCCACCUACCCCAAACACGAGGGGCCGCAUCUGGAGGUGCGGCUGUCGACGGCAAGGUCCCGACCUUCGGGUCCCCGCAGUGGUUCCCGCAAGCGGGCUGAUCAUGUCGCCUUCUGGGUGUCCCGCGCGGCCUCUCGGCUUGCCUUAGGGUUGGGCGACGCGGGCAUUCUCCUCCCUUCGAUGGCGUCGUCCCCUCCUCCGGGAGAGCGACACGCCUCGAGGGCCGUUUGCAACUUUGCACCAUGUACAACGCCAGUGACUGGGGAUAGCUGUGUCCCGGUUCCGCUGCUGACAUCGGGUGGUGGGGGAUUGGUCCAUAGGAACAAGAGUAAAUAAACACAACUCUCAGCAACGGAUAUCUUGGCUCUU